rnacentral:lncRNA from 1 species
CUCUGGCUUGACACUACCUACUGGUGUCCAGUUGGAGACAGACUAAAAUGCACUGAAGGACUAUUAGGAUUGCUGCCUCCUAAGUUAUCACAGCCUCGCUCUGUUGAUGUGAAUGAGGAACUGCUUGGUUGUUAAAGGAGAUUUUGCUCCCUGCUGCCCCAAACAGGUCUGGCAGGAUUGGUUACAAUGAUCUCCAGAGGCUCAACCAUUCCCCUUCCCUAUCCUUGCUUGGGACAUUUAAUCACAGCCACCUAGUAGAGGCCGCUCAGUAAGGGGAUA